CGGACGGGUGAGUAAUGUCUGGGAAACUGCCCGAUGGAGGGGGAUAACUACUGGAAACGGUAGCUAAUACCGCAUAACGUCGCAAGACCAAAGAGGGGGACCUUCGGGCUCUUGCCAUCGGAUGUGCCCAGAUGGGAUUAGCUAGUAGGUGGGGUAACGGCUCACCUAGGCGACGAUCCCUAGCUGGUCUGAGAGGAUGACCAGCCACACUGGAACUGAGACACGGUCCAG
rnacentral:rRNA from 1 species